CGGCGUGCCUAAUACAUGCAAGUAGAACGCUGAAGCUUGGUGCUUGCACCGAGCGGAUGAGUUGCGAACGGGUGAGUAACGCGUAGGUAACCUGCCUCUUAGCGGGGGAUAACUAUUGGAAACGAUAGCUAAUACCGCAUAAAAGUCGAUAUCGCAUGAUAUUGAUUUGAAAGGUGCAAUUGCAUCACUAAGAGAUGGACCUGCGUUGUAUUAGCUAGUUGGUGAGGUAACGGCUCACCAAGGCGACGAUACAUAGCCGACCUGAGAGGGUGAUCGGCCACACUGGGACUGAGACACGGCCCAGACUCCUACGGGAGGCAGCAGUAGGGAAUCUUCGGCAAUGGGGGCAACCCUGACCGAGCAACGCCGCGUGAGUGAAGAAGGUUUUCGGAUCGUAAAGCUCUGUUGUAAGAGAAGAACGAGUGUGAGAGUGGAAAGUUCACACUGUGACGGUAACUUACCAGAAAGGGACGGCUAACUACGUGCCAGCAGCCGCGGU
rnacentral:rRNA from 2 species